rnacentral:rRNA from 1 species
GACGAACGCUGGCGGCGUGCUUAACACAUGCAAGUCGAACGGAAAGGCCCUGCUUUUGUGGGGUGCUCGAGUGGCGAACGGGUGAGUAACACGUGAGUAACCUGCCCUUGACUUUGGGAUAACUUCAGGAAACUGGGGCUAAUACCGGAUAGGAGCUCCUGCUGCAUGGUGGGGGUUGGAAAGUUUCGGCGGUUGGGGAUGGACUCGCGGCUUAUCAGCUUGUUGGUGGGGUAGUGGCUUACCAAGGCUUUGACGGGUAGCCGGCCUGAGAGGGUGACCGGCCACAUUGGGACUGCGAUACGGCCCAGACUCCUACGGGAGGCAGCAGUGGGGAAUAUUGCACAAUGGGCGGAAGCCUGAUGCAGCAACGCCGCGUGCGGGAUGACGGCCUUCGGGUUGUAAACCGCCUUCGCCUGUGACAAAGCGUGAGUGACGGUAAUGGGUAAAGAAGCACCGGCUAACUACGUG